AUUGAACGCUGGCGGCAGGCCUAACACAUGCAAGUCGAACGGUAGCACAGAGAGCUUGCUCUCGGGUGACGAGUGGCGGACGGGUGAGUAACGUCUGGGAAACUGCCCGAUGGAGGGGGAUAACUACUGGAAACGGUAGCUAAUACCGCAUAACGUCGCAAGACCAAAGUGGGGGACCUUCGGGCCUCACACCAUCGGAUGUGCCCAGAUGGGAUUAGCUAGUAGGUGGGGUAAUGGCUCACCUAGGCGACGAUCCCUAGCUGGUCUGAGAGGAUGACCAGCCACACUGGAACUGAGGCACGGUCCAGACUCCCACGGGAGGCAGCAGUGGGGAAUAUUGCACAAUGGGCGCAAGCCUGAUGCAGCCAUGCCGCGUGUAUGAAGAAGGCCUUCGGGUUGUAAAGUACUUUCAGCGGGGAGGAAGGCGGUGAAGUUAAUAACUUCACCGAUUGACGUUACCCGCAGAAGAAGCACCGGCUAACUCCGUGCCAGCCGCCGCCGUAA
rnacentral:rRNA from 1 species